rnacentral:tRNA from 1 species
ACUUAAAUAGCUUAUAAAGAGCUUGAUAUUGAAGAUAUCAGGGAGACUAAAUGUCUUUAAGUA